rnacentral:tRNA from 1 species
CAAAGUAUAGCUUAAUUAAAGCAUUUCGCUUACACCGAAAAAACAUCUGUUAAACUCAGUUUACUUUGA